UCAGCUUAGUGGUAGAGCAUCUCCUUUGCAUGCAAAAGUUCCCAGGUUUGAUCCCUGGCAUCUCAU